CAGCAGUCGCCACGGUAAUACGGAGGGUGCAAGCGUUAAUCGGAAUUACUGGGCGUAAAGCGCACGCAGGCGGUCUGACAAGUCAGAUGUGAAAUCCCCGGGCUUAACCUGGGAACUGCAUUUGAAACUGUCAGGCUGGAGUCUUGUAGAGGGGGGUGGAAUUCCAGGUGUAGCGGUGAAAUGCGUAGAGAUCUGGAGGAAUACCGGUGGCGAAGGCGGCCCCCUGGACAAAGACUGACGCUCAGGUGCGAAAGCGUGGGGAGCAAACAGGAUUAGAUACCCCAGUAGUCCCUGUCUCUUAUUA
rnacentral:rRNA from 1 species